rnacentral:rRNA from 1 species
CCCGCACAAGCGGUGGAGCAUGUGGUUUAAUUCGACGCAACGCGAAGAACCUUACCAGGGCUUGACAUCCCCUGACCGCGUAUGAAAGUACGUUUUCACCCUCGGGUGACAGGGAGACAGGUGGUGCAUGGUUGUCGUCAGCUCGUGUCGUGAGAUGUUGGGUUAAGUCCCGCAACGAGCGCAACCCUUAUCCCCAGUUGCCAUCAGGUAAAGCUGGGAACUCUGGGGAGACUGCCGGUGAUAAACCGGAGGAAGGCGGGGAUGACGUCAAGUCCUCAUGGCCCUUACAUCCCGGGCUACACACGUGCUACAAUGGCAGGUACAGAGGGCUGCGAAGCCGCGAGGUGGAGCGAAUCCCAGAAAACCUGUCUCAGUCCGGAUUGAAGUCUGCAACUCGACUUCAUGAAGGCGGAAUCGCUAGUAACCGCGAAUCAGCAGGUCGCGGUGAAUACGUUCCCGGGCCUU